rnacentral:misc_RNA from 1 species
AAAAAUAUGAACUUUCUUAAGUAGUAACUAAUCCCUCUAUACUAAUUUUGUACCCACUGUUUCCUCAAAGUUCUUCAUUUGGUUAGAUUUCACUUAUCUUCUCUGGAAAUUGAAUGCCUUGAUAGCAAAAGCAAAUGUGAAGGCAAAAACAACUACGUAUGCAACGAGCACACCUGCAACGACUGGAAGAAAAUCGUGUCUGAAUCCAAAGUAACGUCUCAAGAAUUGCUCCACGGUUUCUUCAUCAGUUAGUCUACUUUGGAUGUCUCCGAAUUGUGAUGCAACCAAACCAUACAAGGUCCAGGCAACAGGGCAACA